ACGGCCGGAACCGCGGACGGCCCGACCGGCUGCAGCCCCGUCGUCUCCGGGUGCGACACCCGGCCGCCGUGC
rnacentral:tRNA from 1 species